GCUGAACGCUUUCUUCUUUCCUAAUACAUGCAAGUCGAGCGAACAGACGAGGAGCUUACUCCUCUGACGUUAGCGGCGGACGGGUGAGUAACACGUGGAUAACCUACCUAUAAGACUGGGAUAACUUCGGGAAACCGGAGCUAAUACCGGAUAACAUGUUGAACCGCAUGGUUCAACAGUGAAAGACGGUCUUGCUGUCACUUAUAGAUGGAUCCGCGUCGCAUUAGCUAGUUGGUAAGGUAACGGCUUACCAAGGCAACGAUGCGUAGCCGACCUGAGAGGGUGAUCGGCCACACUGGAACUGAGACACGGUCCAGACUCCUACGGGAGGCAGCAGUAGGGAAUCUUCCGCAAUGGGCGAAAGCCUGACGGAGCAACGCCGCGUGAGUGAAGAAGGUCUUCGGAUCGUAAAACUCUGUUAUUAGGGAAGAACAAAUGUGUAAGUAACUAUGCACGUCUUGACGGUACCUAAUCAGAAAGCCAAGGCUAACUACGUG
rnacentral:rRNA from 1 species